GUAGACAGAAGAGAAUUCUGGGAGAAAGAAGCUUAGUGGAGGAGUCGCCAUGAUUCUCCCGCUCCAGACAGACGCAGGUUAAGAUCCUCCCUGCCACAACACAAAGUCUGAACUUGGAUAUUCUGAAAGUCUGUUGGUGCCAGCGGAACUUCACAUCACCAAUCUCCACACCUGCCUUUCUCUGGAGGAGGCCUUCAGUAGGACAUCCAGUCAGAAUGUCCAUCCUCUGGAGCUGCCAUCUAGACCAUUAUUACCAUGAGCUGAGAAACACAGCUACAUCAUCAGUUGGUGAUAUUUGGAGAUUGCUGGACAGCGUACUUGUAAAGAGAAAGGGUCUCCAAAAGAGUGUUGUGUAGAUUUUUGGGCACCUGGUUCUGCAGCAGUAAUAUCUGUACCCCAGUUCUUCCCCAGUAAACCUAUCACACACGCUUUUGUUUUUCUUGCUGCUUGUGCACAUGUGCUAGCCACUUCAGUCUGUGGCUGCCUGCCCUAGUUUGCAGAACUUCCUGACUUCCUGCCUCUAUCCUGUUCCUUGCUUUGUUGAUUACCCUUGCCUCUGCCAUUAGCGUUUAGUCCAGCUGCUUCUCCAGGGAAAGCCCAGAUGACUGGCAGUCUCCAUGGAGAGGCUGCACCUGGGACUCUGAAGACCACUUUAGCUGCACAAUGACUCAGCAGGAAGCUGCAGCUUGGAAGCCAGAAAAGCUUCUGUGAAGCUCAGCUUUCUUCAAAAGAGGGUUUUUAGCCAUUUGCACAUCUUUGUGUCUGAAUGCAGCAGCUACAGGGGAAUCACCUACAGAGUGUGCACAUGUGUGUGAAUGUAUGUGCAUUUUCCCCCAGACCUGAGAAAAGUGAAAGACCUGUUGGCUUUCUGUUCUUUUGCCAUUGUCAGUGAUUCCAAUGUGUCAUUUAUUUUUUCCAUUAAUGUAAAAUUUGGUAUAAUUUUAAAAAAUAAUAAUUCUUUAGGGAUUUUACAAGGUCAUCUCUACCCCUAUUAGUUAUUAAUCUAGAUUUCUCACUGUAUGUAGGCAUCAAUAACAUGUGUUAACAGGAGAAAGACAUGUUUUAAUUACCCCCAACCAAACACACACCUUCAUGACCUUCAUGAGACAGUGAAAACUGAAAUGGAAUGACCCAAGUGUUUGGAAUCUCCAGGUUGAGGCCCCAUUCCAGACCCUGCCCUCAGUAUUCCAAGCAACAGUUCCCUGGAGCUGCCCUGCCAGACUCUGCCUCUGAGAAAGCCUACCAUCUGCAACUCUUCCCCCAAGAUGCCCGGGAUCAUGUCUGCAGGCUAUUUAAGAUGUGGUCUGCCAACCUGCCCUCUAUAGGAGCCAGCCACGAUAAGCUAAAUAGAAAUAGACCACCCAAAGGAAGUUCUUUACUUCCAACCAUUAUCACCUGCCAGAGUAGGACUCAGCCAUUGAUAAGUUUAUUGGAGGCCUGAGUCUCAGUAGUUUACCCUGAAGCAACACCUGGUUGCAGGGAGAACCACAAACUGAGAUUACCGAAGCACCACCCAAGCAAGAACAGACCAUCCAAAGGAAUUAUCUAGCAUUCCAACCAUUGUAGAUCUGAUCGCCUGCCAGCACAUUCACCAGGACACCCGGAGACAAAUGUCAGUCAAUCAGGGGUCCUGAACCUCAGAAACCUUUACUAUUAUAAAAACUCAACUCUAACUGAGCUCGGGGCUCUUCCAUUAUUCCAAUAUGUUGGACAUGCAAAGAGACUGAAUUUGGA